AUUGAACGCUGGCGGCAGGCCUAACACAUGCAAGUCGAGCGGAGCGGCGGACGGGUGAGUCAUGCCUAGGAAUCUGCCUGGUAGUGGGGGAUACCGUCCGGAAACGGGCGCUAAUACCGCAUACUAUCAGAUGAGCCUCGGGCGGAUUAGCUAGUUGGGGGGGAAAAGGCCUACCAAGGCGACGAUCCGUAACUGGUCUGAGAGGAUGAUCAGUCAAAUUGGAACUGAGACAGCGUCCAUACUCCUACGGGAGGCAGCAGUGGCUAAUAUUGGACAAUGGGCGAAAGCCUGAUCCAGCCAUGCCGCGUGUGUGAAGAAGGUCUUCGGAUUGUAAAGCACUUUAAUGUGUGAGGCGUUACCAACAGAAUAAGCACCGGCUAACUUCGUGCCAGCAGCCGCGGUAAUAC
rnacentral:rRNA from 1 species